rnacentral:tRNA from 6 species
AGGCCAGUAGCUCAAUCGGCAGAGCGGCGGUCUCCAAAACCGCAGGUUGGGGGUUCGAUUCCCUCCUGGCCUGCCA